AAAACAAUUCAUAAAAAACUAUUUGCUUAAAUUAAAAGCAAUUCAGAAAAAUUAAUAUCCCUUGAAUUACAGCAUUGAUUUAAUUGUAAAAUAUUAACCAACAACUUCUAAGAAUUACUAAUCAAAAUCCGUAUCCACAUAAACUAAUAAUAUCCACAUUUUCACUAAAAACAAAAAAUGAGAUAAUAAUCUUGUGAUCUUCAAAGGUCUUCAAUCUCAUAGCUAGUCAUCCGAAACCAUUCGAUCCGCAAGCUAAAUACCACCCAUAGUUCUUUUAUCUGCAUUUUGAAAAUGCACAUUGAUUAUUUCCAACAUGCAUGUGUUUUGAGUAUUUCAAUAUUAUCUAGAAGAAUAAUAAAAAAUAAAUAUAGACUUGAGAGAAGAUAAAUUUUGAAUUAUAAUACUUGAGAGAAAAUAUAUAAGUUCCAUGUGGAACACAUUAUCUACACAUUUUAUAAGUAGCAUAUAUUAUAUAAAUAAAAAGUCUUACCAGGAAGAUUCACCAAUGAAGAACGAUUGAAAAGCUGGAUUACUAGCUAAAUCUGCUAGAAAUGCCUCUGUUUUAGCCUGUCGAGCACUCAACAUCUGAAGUUGUGUAGAGAGCUGCUUCUCGGUUUCUUCUGCGUUUCGCUUAUACUCUUCAAAAGCUAUAUUAUUGGAGUUGUAUGCUACAGAUUGUGAUGUUGAUAUAAACCCAUUUCCAAGUCCCCGGACGUAAUUACGUCUCUUCCCUAAU
rnacentral:lncRNA from 1 species